rnacentral:misc_RNA from 1 species
GAUGAAGAACGUAGCGAAAUGCGAUAAGUAAUGUGAAUUGCAGAAUUCAGUGAAUCAUCGAAUCUUUGAACGCACAUUGCGCCCGUCAGUAUUCUGGCGGGCAUGCCUGUUCGAGCGUCAUUACGCCCCUCAAGUCCCCUGUGGACUUGGUGUUGGGGAUCGGCGAGGCUGGUUUUCCAGCACAGCCGUCCCUUAAAUUAAUUGCGGUCUCGCCGUGGCCCUCCUCUGCGCAGUAGUAAAACACUCGCAACAGGAGCCCGGCGCGGUCCACUGCCGUAAAACCCCCCAACUUUUUAUAGUUGACCUCGAAUCAGGUAGGACUACCCGCUGAACUUAAGCAUAUCAAUAAGCGGAGGA